rnacentral:rRNA from 1 species
GACGAACGCUGGCGGCGUGCUUAACACAUGCAAGUCGAACGAUGAACCCGGAGCUUGCUCCGGUGGAUUAGUGGCGAACGGGUGAGUAACACGUGAGUAACCUGCCCUUGACUCUGGGAUAACUGCGGGAAACUGUAGCUAAUACCGGAUACGACCCUCGGCGGCAUCGCCAGGGGGUGGAAAGAAUUUCGGUCAAGGAUGGACUCGCGGCGGAUCAGCUAGUUGGUGAGGUAACGGCUCACCAAGGCGACGACGGGGAGCCGGCCUGAGAGGGUGACCGGCCACACUGGAACUGAGACACGGCCCAGACUCCUACGGGGGGCAGUAGUGGGGAAGAUUGCACAAUGGGCGCAAGCCUGGUGCAGCAACGCCGCGUGAGGGAUGACGGCCUUCGGGUUGUAAACCUCUUUUAGUAGGGAAGAAGCGAAAGUGACGGUACCUGCAGAAAAAGCACCGGCUAACUACGUGCCAGCCGCCGCAGUAA